rnacentral:rRNA from 1 species
UCAAAAACUUGUCUCAGUUCGGAUUGUAGGCUGAAACUCGCCUACAUGAAGCUGGAGUUGCUAGUAAUCGCGAAUCAGCAUGUCGCGGUGAAUACGUUCCCGGGCCUUGUACACACCGCCCGUCACACCAUGAGAGUUGGCAAUACCCAACGUACGUGAUCUAACCCGCAAGGGAGGAAGCGUCCUAAGGUAGGGUCAGCGAUUGGGGUGAAGUCGUAACAAGGUAUC